rnacentral:tRNA from 1 species
UAAGGCCUUAGCUUAAUUAAAGCGUCUGAUUUGCAAUCAGGAGAUGUAAGUUAAUCUCUUGUAGGCCUUAAU